AGAUUGAACGCUGGCGGCAGGCCUAACACAUGCAAGUCGAGCGGUAGAGAGGUGCUUGCACCUCUUGAGAGCGGCGGACGGGUGAGUAAUGCCUAGGAAUCUGCCUAGUGGUGGGGGAUAACGUUCGGAAACGGACGCUAAUACCGCAUACGUCCGUACGGGAGAAAGGCGGGGGACCUUCGGGCCUCGCGCCAUUAGAUGAGCCGUAGGUCGGAUUAGCUAGUUGGUGAGGUAU
rnacentral:rRNA from 1 species